UAGGAUGGUUUAGGAAUAGCUGCAUGACC
rnacentral:piRNA from 1 species